rnacentral:rRNA from 1 species
AACGAACACUGGCGGCGUGGAUUAGGCAUGCAAGUCGAACGAGAAAGUUCCCUUCGGGGAAUGAGUAGAGUGGCGAACGGGUGAGUAACGCGUGGGAAACCUGCCCUUCAAUGGGGGAUAACAGUUCUAACGAGCUGCUAAUACCGCAUACGACCUCCGGAUCGCAUGAUCUGGAGUUGAAAGGUGGCCUCUCUUUGAAGCUGCCGUUGAAGGAUGGUCCCGCGUCCCAUUAGCUAGUUGGUGGGGUAAUGGCCUACCAAGGCGACGAUGGGUAGCCGGCCUGAGAGGGUGUCCGGCCACACUGGGACUGAGAUACGGCCCAGACUCCUACGGGAGGCAGCAGUCGAGAAGCUUCCGCAAUGGGCGAAAGCCUGACGGAGCGACGCCGCGUGAGUGAAGAAGGCCCUAUGGGUUGUAAAACUCUGUCAGAUCGGGAAGAAAAUUCCGCGGUUAACACCCGCGGAACUG